rnacentral:misc_RNA from 1 species
AAGUCGUAACAAGGUUUCCGUAGGUGAACCUGCGGAAGGAUCAUUAAAGAGUUUAGGGGUUCCUAGUGGGCCCCAACCUCCCAAACCCCUCCUGGUUUGGUUUAAAAACUAACCCUUGUUGCUUUUGGGCGGGGACCGUUCGGGUCUCCCGAGCGCGUUUAACCCUCGGGGUUGGCGGGGCGCCCGCCAGAGUCCAACCAAACUCUUGUAUUAAACCAGUCGUCUGAGUAUAAAAUUUUAAUUAAAUUAAAA